AUCCCCCUGAAUAGUCAGUGUUUAGAAAGCCUACUUUUCAGAUAUAAAGACAAGUAAAUAAAAUGAGCUUUGCAACUUGCCUUGGCGCAGCUCACUAGCAACCUGCCUUUUGGAGAUCCACGUGUAAACACAAGACUCUGUGAUUCACCUGACGUCAACACCAGCUGCACGAAGGCACAAGGCUGAGGGGAACCAGGUGGCCCUGGAGAGAGACAAUCGGCAAAGAUGCAAAAUGCCGGAACACCAUAGAAGCCUGAGGUUUCCUUUUGCCUCCUAAGGAGGACUUCUAAAUAGAGGCAUUUUAUAAACAGCUGCAUGUUCUUUUGGAGAGGAAAUUGGAGGAACUGCCUGGCUGAAGAAAAUGAAACGCGGAGCUGUAUGAUGUCUUUUCUUCUGAUAAAUUAUGGGUAAACCUGAAGGAGCAGAGGAGACAAGUGGUCUUUUAUUAUCUGCAAACUAAGCCUGAGGAAUGUGGGAUGGCCCAGAGCAACUUCUGCAAAUUGAAGUGGAUCUUCUUUAACUCCCAUCAAAUGCCACCUAUUUGCUUCCUGCCUCUGUAUUGCCAAAGAGAAGCUGGAGACAAUGAAGUUUCAGUUCACCCGCAGACAGCCAAGUAUACAGUUGCCUCCUUGUCUCCCACCGAGAAACCUUGCUGCCAUUUUACAGAAAUGGUUCAUCAAAGGAGUGAUUGACCAGCAAAGAUGAAAGUGCAGCAGAGAAAUGAAAAGUGAAACACCGGAAGCCAUAUCUGAAUGCAGUGUAAAUGGAGUUGGAGGAGAAAUUGUUGGUCGUGGCAGAGUUGAAACCAGUGGAGUGUGGGCCCCUCUGUUUGUGCAGCCAGGCGCUUGGCAAAAGCCGACUUACUGACAUCAGUGGGGCAGUGGCUGUGAUGAAAAGGAUGACGGUGUCCCCGAGGAAGUGACUCCGGAAAAAUACUUCAAAUUAAAGAAACCUGGACAUAUUUUAUGACACUGAAUGUGCAGAGGCUAAAGUGUUGGAAGUGAAUCCAGAUUUAGAAAGGAAUAGGACAGUUUUGUCAUAGAAGGCAUAGAAAAGAUGCAGUAAGUUAUAUGAUGAGAAGAAAGCAAGUCCUGUUGGAACUCUUCUUGAUGUUGUUUCACAAGGAUGUAAAAUACUUUAAUUCUCAAUAGUUUUAAUGUAUUAAA